UUGACCUGCCUGGCCUCCACGGUCACGUCCGAGAGCGCGGCGGAGAGGUCCAGCGCAUUGCGGCUCCUCUCCUCGCCCUGCACCGCCGCCCGAAGCUCCGCUCGCAGGACCAUGAUCUCCUCGUUCGCGCCGCCGAACAUGAGGUCCCUGACGCUCCUUUGCUCCAGCACGCCGCUGCGCCGGGCGGACGCGAGGCUCUUGCUCGCCUGCUGUUGCUACUGUAGCGUGACCAUCUCCAGCUUAGCCUCCUCGAGCGACAUCUUGGUCUGCUCCAGCUGCUUGGUCUGGUAUAUCAGCAAUAGUGGAGGCGUCGAUCUGGGGGCGAGGAGAGCGGGGCGGCGAGGAUUACGGCCGCGGGCAAGAUCUGGGGGCGAGGAGAGCCGGAGCGGCGGGGAUUGCGGCCUCGGCGCAGGGAGAGGAGAGCCGGGGCGGGGGGAUUGCUGCGAUGUAAGGUGGAGCCGUGGUGAAGCCGUGGUGGACGCCCUCGUUGCGUCCUUAUAA
rnacentral:misc_RNA from 1 species